UGUGAUAAUUGCUAUGUCCUAGUUGGCCGAGUAAACCUCACAUGUCAGAUAAAUGGACAGUGGGAUGGAAAUCCACCAUUAUGUACAGCGGUUUACUGCUCGCCACUGAUGACACCAUACCAUGGCAAGAAGAGUUCUAACAGCACUGACUGUCAAACAGUUGUUGAGUUUAGUUGUGAUGAUGGCUUUGUCCUUUCGGGACGAUCACAUCUUAUCUGCCAAUCUAAUGGGAAGUGGGACAAUUUGAAUCCUGUGUGUGAAGAUAUGAAUGAGUGUUUAUCAUUUCCCUGCCAGAAUAACGGCAGCUGCCUUAACACGUUUGGUAGCUUUAGAUGCAUCUGUACAGCAUACUUCAUGGGAACAUACUGUCACAUGUGUAUGUUCUGCUUAUUUUAAUGAAUUCCUUGUAAUUUAAUUUAACUUGGUUUACAUUCAGCUACCGGCAACAUGUACUCAUUUGGUACAUCUCAGAAUGAUUUUUCUCUACCAGCAUUAGAUGAUUAUUCUCAUGGUCCAAUUGCUAUUGGAGUCGGUUGUUUUCCUUUUGGCCAACAA